UCCCGUGUAGUCCAAUGGCUAGGAUACCUGGCUUUCACCCAGGAGGGUCAAUUCCCGGCAUGGGAG
rnacentral:tRNA from 1 species